rnacentral:rRNA from 1 species
UACGUAGGGGGCAAGCGUUGUCCGGAAUCAUUGGGCGUAAAGAGCGUGUAGGCGGCCCGGUAAGUCCGCUGUGAAAGUCCAGGGCUCAACCCUGGGAUGCCGGUGGAUACUGUCGGGCUCGAGUCCGGAAGAGGAGUGUGGAAUUCCCGGUGUAGCGGUGAAAUGCGCAGAUAUCGGGAAGAACACCCGUGGCGAAGGCGGUUCUCUGGGACGGUACUGACGCUGAGACGCGAAAGCGUGGGGAGCGAACAGG